rnacentral:rRNA from 1 species
GACGAACGCUGGCGGCGUGCUUAACACAUGCAAGUCGAACGGAAAGGCCCUGCUUUUGUGGGGUGCUCGAGUGGCGAACGGGUGAGUAACACGUGAGUAACCUGCCCUUGACUUUGGGAUAACUUCAGGAAACUGGGGCUAAUACCGGAUAGGAGCUCCUGCUGGAUGGUGGGGGUUGGAAAGUUUCGGCGGUUGGGGAUGGACUGGCGGCUUAUCAGCUUGUUGGUGGGGUAGUGGCUUACCAAGGCUUUGACGGGUAGCCGGCCUGAGAGGGUGACCGGCCACAUUGGGACUGAGAUACGGCCCAGACUCCUACGUUAGGCAGCAGUGGGGAAUAUUGCACAAUGGGCGGAAGCCUGAUGCAGCAACGCCGCGUGCGGGAUGACGUCCUUCGGGGUGUAAACCGCUUUCGCCUGUGACGAAGCGUGAGUGACGGUAAUGGGUAAAGAAGCACCGGCUAACUACGUG